rnacentral:rRNA from 1 species
UACGGAGGAUGCAAGCGUUAUCCGGAAUGAUUGGGCGUAAAGCGUCCGCAGGUGGCUGUGUAAGUCUGCUGUCAAAGAGCAAAGCUCAACUUUGUAAAGGCAGUGGAAACUACACGGCUAGAGUGCGUUCGGGGCAGAGGGAAUUCCUGGUGUAGCGGUGAAAUGCGUAGAGAUCAGGAAGAACACCGGUGGCGAAGGCGGCUUACUGGACCAACACUGACACUGAGGCACGAAAGCGUGGGUAGCAAACAGG